rnacentral:rRNA from 1 species
CGUGGGCGCUGGAGAACUGAGGGGGGCUGCUCCUAGUACGAGAGGACCGGGGUGGACGCAUCACUGGUGUUCGGGUUGUCAUGCCAAUGGCACUGCCCGGUAGCUAAAUGCGGAAGAGAUAAGUGCUGAAAGCAUCUAAGCACGAAACUUGCCCCGAGAUGAGUUCUCCCUGACCCUUUAAGGGUCCUGAAGGAACGUUGAAGACGACGACGUUGAUAGGCCGGGUGUGUAAGAUGGUAGUGUGG